rnacentral:lncRNA from 1 species
GGACGACGUUCGGCCUGCGCAGUGAGAUGUUUGUCCGUCGCCGCCGCCGCCGCCAUCGCGGAGGAGCGCGAUAAAGGGAGCCGAGCCGGACGUGAGGGGGACCCCGCGGAGCCGCCGCGCCAGCGCAGCCCCCCAGCCGCAUCGGAGUCGCCAGAGUCCGAGCCGCCGCCGCCGCCGCCGCCGCCCCCGCCGCCGCCGCGGCUGCCCAGGGGCCGGCCAGCUCCCCAGCCCUGCCCGGGGGUCGCGCCGCCGCCGCCCCCAGCGUCGCCCCUAGCCUGCCUGCCCGCCUUAAAUGUGACACCGGCGUCGCGGAGCGCGACCUGAAGCCGCCGCCGGGGAGGGGACGAGCACCAUGUCGAAUCUGAGCAAAGGCACGGGCAGCCGGAAGGACACCAAGAUGCGGAUCCGGGCCUUUCCGAUGACCAUGGAUGAAAAAUAUGUAAACAGCAUUUGGGACCUUCUGAAAAAUGCAAUUCAAGAAAUCCAGCGUAAGAAUAACAGUGGUCUUAGUUUUGAGGAGCUCUAUAGAAAUGCAUAUACAAUGGUUUUGCAUAAACAUGGAGAAAAGCUCUACACUGGACUAAGAGAAGUUGUUACCGAACAUCUCAUAAAUAAGGUGCGAGAAGAUGUACUAAAUUCAUUGAAUAACAACUUUCUUCAAACGCUAAAUCAAGCUUGGAAUGAUCAUCAAACAGCUAUGGUGAUGAUUAGAGACAUACUAAUGUACAUGGACCGUGUGUAUGUACAACAAAAUAAUGUGGAGAACGUCUACAAUUUGGGAUUAAUUAUUUUUCGAGAUCAAGUUGUACGUUAUGGGUGUAUUAGGGAUCAUCUACGGCAAACUCUAUUGGAUAUGAUUGCAAGAGAGCGGAAAGGAGAAGUCGUAGACAGAGGCGCAAUAAGAAAUGCUUGCCAGAUGUUAAUGAUUUUAGGUCUCGAAGGAAGAUCAGUCUAUGAAGAAGAUUUUGAGGCUCCUUUUUUGGAAAUGUCUGCAGAAUUUUUUCAGAUGGAAAGCCAGAAAUUUUUAGCAGAAAAUAGUGCUUCAGUAUAUAUAAAGAAAGUAGAAGCUAG